UGCUUUGUAAAACAUGUCAUUGACAAGAUGUUUUCGAUUUUUCACUUCUUUUAGCACAGAAACAUUAAUAUCACAAAUACACAGGGCAUAAAGUAAGCAUGCCACUCUAAAAUAAUCAAUUGCCUAUUGUUCUCUCAUUCUGAUUUUCAUUUGAUCAAAUGCAGUCUUCCACAGCUUUCCUUGCUUACAGAGUUUUUGCAGUUUAAAAAGUUCAGCAGCCAUCCUUAGGGAAUUUGUUUUUAUGCUUUAUUUAGUUGUGUCACCAAAUAACGGCACUUUAAGAAUAAUUAGAACAAUGCAGAGCAUUUGUAUUAAUUACAUGGAAAUUAUAGGUGAUUAAACCUGUUCUGUAUCUGGAUAUGUCAAUAUGUUUUAAUAUUUUUAUAUGACUGAUUGGAAAAAUGCAAUGCAAAUAAAAAAGUUUAUUUAGCUCAGAAUAAAAAGUGCUGUAAUAAGAGCAGAACAACAUCAAGGAACAAGUUCAUGUAUCAUCUUUGGUUCGGUAUCAUCAUAUCUGCUCCUGAAGAUAGCAGAAGAGAGAAACAAGAGACACCAAGGAGAUUUCAAUACUCAGUGAAUUUGUUGGCAUUUUAUGUAUGAUUAAAUUUAUCUAUUGGGGAGACGGGACAUUCCUAGGACUUUUAUCUUUCCGUUUAUAUCACUAGUUCUAUUUAAACAUCCAAAACUUCAUUUUGGACGGUAACCCCACUUUCUUUAGCGAUACCAGGCUUCAGAAUUUCUUAGGGGCAGCCAAUGACAGCAUUUUUCCUCCAAAUAUUAUAUACCAUAUUUCUGGGAACAGAAUGAGAGAUAAGAAAUAGCAAUAUUCACCCUUUAACUGUGCAGAAAGAUAGCUUUCAGCGCAUAGCAAUGUAAGGUAAGUGUCAAAAAUGCAUCUUAUAUAACAUAAUACUCUUAUAUUAACUGUCUUGAUUAUAAUAAAUGAUCGGGGAGAAAGAUAUCCAAAAAAUAAUUGACCUCAGAAAAGAAAGCAGAGCCUCUUCUUUCAGAGUCUACUUUAGUUAGUCCACUCAGAGUAAUCCCAACAUGCUGUUUUAAACUUUGCACUGAGUAACUCUGUAACUAAAUGGCCUUCUUAUUAGAAAUUACAGGCUUGUAUAAACAAAACAAAGUCCAGAAGGGGGAAAAUGUCAUAAGGACUGAGCAAAGGCCCUUCGGCAGAAGCAAGGAUUAUCAGGGAAUGCAAACACACGAAGACGGUGGUUUAGUAGGCCUACAUUAAAAAACUGCUUGUGUUUAAUAGGCCAUGGGAUAUCCUCUAGCAGUGUUUCUCAGCAAGGUGCCUGGCUGGUUUCUUUUCAUUGGAAUCUUCCUGCCCGUAACUUUACUUCUGUUACUGCUCAUUGCCUACCUCCGGAUCAAGCUUAAAGAAGUGAACAAGCAAUUGUCUCUGGCCAAUAACCCCACAGAUGUUGUCCUCCAGUACCAUGCCAAGUGCAGCAAAUUGAGGAAUUCAAACAGAAAGCAAGAUCAUCAGUAAGAAGAUGACAACUUCUUUAGAGAAUGUCACUUUGGAUGAUUGGUUCAGUUUCAGCUAUUUACUGGGGGGGGGGGAAUUCAAGUGCAGCUUACUGUUAUUUAAAACCCAGGAAAGAUAUUCUGAUAAUGUGAUUAAGAAAGAUUAAAAAAAGAAACCAUUGUUUAAAAUGACUUUUAAUUAUUUUGCUGCUUCUGAUGAAGCCACAGUGUUUUGAGCCUAAUUCAGAAAAUUGCUUCGCCUUCUCUUGGGGGGGGGG